rnacentral:rRNA from 1 species
CUAAGCUAGAACUGCUGAGGAAUCAGGGGUGCCUCGACAGUUCAUGAUCUCAUCGCCCUCGCCCAAAGUCAUUGUUCGCAGUUUGUGUAUUUGUGUGAAACAAGGCAAGAGUCUAAAAAGGUCCGUCGUUUGUGUUCUCGCGUAGGUCUUCGAGGCUUUUGUGGAGUCGAUAGCAACGGUAAAAGUGGUGGUUUUGCUUUGUUUUGGAAUGACCAAUUGUCAAUUGAGAUCAAAGAUAUGAAUGAAACAAUUAUUGAUACGUACAUCCGUGCCAUUUCGUCUGAUCGUCACUAA